rnacentral:rRNA from 1 species
UACGGGGGGGCAAGCGUUGUUCGGAAUUACUGGGCGUAAAGGGUUUGUAGGUGGCUUGUUAAGUCAGACGUGAAAUCCCUGGGCUCAACCCGGGAACUGCGUCCGAUACUGGAAGGCUUGAAUCCGGGAGAGGGAUGCGGAAUUCCAGGUGUAGCGGUGAAAUGCGUAGAUAUCUGGAGGAACACCGGUGGCGAAGGCGGCAUCCUGGACCGGCAUUGACGCUGAGGCGCGAAAGCCAGGGGAGCAAACGGG